rnacentral:rRNA from 1 species
UACGUAGGGGACAAGCGUUGUCCGGAUUUACUGGGCGUAAAGCGCCUGUAGGCGGCGGUGCAAGUCCGGCCUGAAAGCCCCCGGCUCAACCGGGGAGGGUGGCUGGAAACUGUGUCGCUUGAGGGCGAGAGAGGAGGGUGGAAUUCCUGGUGUAGCGGUGAAAUGCGUAGAGAUCAGGAGGAACACCCGUGGCGAAGGCGGCCCUCUGGCUCGACCCUGACGCUGAGAGGCGAAAGCGUGGGGAGCGAACAGG